ensembl:antisense 3300002A11Rik RIKEN cDNA 3300002A11 gene
AGACAAAAGGUGUGAGGCUAAGCGACCAGCCGGGAAGAACAAGGACAAGGAGGCGCUGCUGGCCAGAGGGAAUCUUUUCACCUCUGAAGUCCAUGGCCUCUGUUGUUGACAACACAGCUCCACCCUGGCAACCAGGACAACACAAAAGCAAGCAAAGAUGUAACCAGCCAAUGUGGCUGCACUUCAAGGAAGCUGCGCAUGCAAAGCCACUGUGCACAGCUGGCUCCCUCUCCCUCUGCCCUAGAGCCCCGAACCUCUGUUCAGGUUCAACUCAAAAGCUCUAUGGCUCCAGGAAGAGAAGGGCCCAGCACCAAGAUUAUUCAUUCCCCAACAAUAGGGAAGAGUUCCAGGUCAAAGCAGAAAACUGGCCCCUCACACAGAUGGAGGGACAGUCUCAGCUCCCUCGUGACAUUAUCCAUCCACUGAGGAGAAGCCUGAGUCUCAGGAUGCUACAAGGCUCUUCUGAGAGCCAGACAUGUCUGGGGACAUCCCUAGCAGCCUGGGAGGAAUCCUGGGACUGACACUUAAAACACACCAAUCUGUCUGCUGCUGAGUGAUCAGACAUCAUCGGAUUCCCCACCACUGCACCGGGACGUCUCAGACUCAAGUUGUUUCUCCUUGAAAUAAAAGAAGCAUUCUUGUGCUUAUCGCUGUG